rnacentral:tRNA from 1 species
GAGGGUAUAGCUCAAGUGGUAGAGCACACGCUUAGCAUGCAUGAGGUCCUGGGUUCAAUCCCCAGUACCUCCU